rfam:Mus musculus chromosome 9, GRC primary reference assembly.
GACCCCAGCAAUGGGCAGAGACACCUUGUUGGUGGUGUUCUUAUACUAGGCAGGGGCAAAAAGGACGGCAGCCCUUUGUUUCAUCCUAGCUUGAUGGGUGGUUUGGUGACUAAAGCUGUUUAUGUCUAGGACAUAUAA